rnacentral:rRNA from 1 species
UACGAAGGGUGCGAGCGUUAUUCGGAAUGACUGGGUGUAAAGAGCUUGAAGGCGGUUUGGUAAGUCAGCUGUUAAAUUACUCGGCUUAACCGGGUGUAUGCGGUUGAAACUGCUGAGCUAGAGUACAGGAGAGAAGAGUGGAAUUCUCGGAGUAGCGGUAAAAUGCGUAGAUCUCGAGAGGAACACCGGUUGCGAAGGCGGCUCUUUGGCCUGUUACUGACGCUGUAGAGCGAAAGCGUGGGGAGCAAACAGG